rnacentral:rRNA from 1 species
AGAGUUUGAUCAUGGCUCAGAACGAACGCUGGCGGCGUGCCUAACACAUGCAAGUCGGACGCGAAAGGGGGCAACCCCCGGUAGCGUGGCAGACGGGUGAGUAACACGUGGGUAACCUACCCGGAGGUGGGGGAUAACCCUUCGAAAGGAGGGCUAAUACCGCAUGACAUCGCGGGGAUCUCGAUCCCUGCAAUCAAAGCUGGCCUCUGUUUACAAGCUAGCGCCACCGGAGGGGCCCGCGCCCCAUUAGCUAGUUGGUGAGGUAACGGCUCACCAAGGCGACGAUGGGUAGCCGGCCUGAGAGGGCGACCGGCCACACUGGAACUGGGACACGGUCCAGACUCCUACGGGAGGCAGCAGUGAGGAAUCUUGCGCAAUGGGCGAAAGCCUGACGCAGCGACGCCGCGUGGAGGACGAAGGUCUUCGGAUUGUAAACUCCUGUCGAGAGGGACGAAUGCCGUGAGGGUGAACAAUCCUCACGGUUGACGGUACCUCCAGAGGAAGCCCCGGCUAACUUCGUGCCAGCAGCCGCGGUA